GAUGUACGGUAUAGUGGAGGUGACAGGAUGUACGGUAUAGUGGAGGUGACAGGAUGUACGGUAUAGUGGAGGUGACAGGAUGUAUGGUAUAGUGGAGGUGACAGGAUGUACGGUAUAGUGGAGGUGACAGGAUGUAUGGUAUAGUGGAGGUGACAGGAUGUAUGGUAUAGUGGAGGUGACAGGAUGUAUGGUAUAGUGGAGGUGACAGGAUGUACGGUAUAGUGGAGGUGACAGGAUGUAUGGUAUAGUGGAGGUGACAGGAUGUAUGGUAUAGUGGAGGUGACAGGAUGUAUGGUAUAGUGGAGGUGACAGGAUGUAUGGUAUAGUGGAGGUGACAGGAUGUAUGGUAUAGUGGAGGUGACAGGAUGUAUGGUAUAGUGGAGGUGACAGGAUGUAUGGUAUAGUGGAGGUGACAGGAUGUAUGGUAUAGUGGAGGUGACAGGAUGUACGGUAUAGUGGAGGUGACAGGAUGUACGGUAUAGUGGAGGUGACAGGAUGUACGGUAUAGUGGAGGUGACAGGAUGUACGGUAUAGUGGAGGUGACAGGAUGUAUGGUAUAGUGGAGGUGACAGGAUGUAUGGUAUAGUGGAGGUGACAGGAUGUAUGGUAUAGUGGAGGUGACAGGAUGUAUGGUAUAGUGGAGGUGACAGGAUGUAUGGUAUAGUGGAGGUGACAGGAUGUAUGGUAUAGUGGAGGUGACAGGAUGUAUGGUAUAGUGGAGGUGACAGGAUGUAUGGUAUAGUGGAGGUGACAGGAUGUAUGGUAUAGUGGAGGUGACAGGAUGUAUGGUAUAGUGGAGGUGACAGUAUGUAUGGUAUAGUGGAGGUGACAGGAUGUAUGGUAUAGUGGAGGUGACAGUAUGUAUGGUAUAGUGGAGGUGACAGGAUGUACGGUAUAGUGGAGGUGACAGGAUGUACGGUAUAGUGGAGGUGACAGGAUGUACGGUAUAGUGGAGGUGACAGGAUGUAU